CUAAAAACAAUAAUUUUGUGAAAAGAAACCAAAAUAAAAAAUAUUGAUGACUUGAAAAAAAAUAAUGAGAGAUUGACAACCAAUAAUUUACAAUUAUUAAUGUCUCUUGAAAAUCUUAAAAAUUAAGUUAAAUCAAAUUUUAUGCUAAUCUAUUUUAACAGAAUUUGUAGAUCUCACUAUGGAAGUUUUUUUUGUGUGGUUGUAGUUCAGUAACUUGGUUUUCUUAUCAAUCCAUCUAACAAAUUGUUUCAGAAAUCUCAUUUUUUCUGCCAGCAAUUACAUGAUGAUAACAAAAGUACACUUGCCUUUAACUUCAUAUAAUGUUCAAGUGUCAACAUACUGCAAUAUGUUGCAUUCUGAUUGGCCUGUGCAACCGACAUGGAAGAUACUUGAAGUUUUAGUGCAAGGGAAUGUGACACAUGCUACCGUUCAAAUUUGGAUCCAAAGUGUUUUUUGUUUAUCUCAAUUUGUUUUUCAUCACAAUGAUGGAUAACAAAGAGGUCUCAAUGCAUUCCAUUUUCAGGAAUCUUGGAAAUUUUGUUAGGUCUACUCAUGACAGAAGGGAGAAAAGAAUUAAUUCUCCUUUCUUCUUGAGAGGAAAAUAUGGUUCUCUUCUAGCAUUUUGGAAGGAUUGGUCUAUUUGUUUGUUAUAGGAAAAAAGGAAGAACAAUUACAGAUUAUGGAAGCGGCAUAAGUUUUGAUCCUUAUAAAUGAAACUUUAAGUUCAAGAACAGAA